GGCACAAAGGAAGGGAUACUCAAAGAGAAUUAAUUCCCUACUCCUCAAAAACUCAUCAAUCCUAAGUGCCAUAAGAAAAAUCCAAGCAACCUGCACCACAGGCUACGGCAGAGAGAAGACUCACACCUGGUGCGGGGAACAGCAGGAUGUUUGCACAGAAGGUGACACACCUGAACUCUGCCAUGCAAGACAGUGAUGCCCUUGUCCUAUGAAGUCCUUUCUGAUCUUCCUGCAGUAUUGGUUUCUCGGGGGGGUGGGCAGCUCUAAAGCGAAGGAUAAUCCUCUGAGGAGCAGACCACAGAGGCGGAAGAGCGUACCUGGAGAGCAGUGUUAUGAAGCAAUCUCAUCCACCGUAUCUGGCCCGUACCCGGUACCAGAACUGCAGAGCUGACUAAUAAGAUGUCCCUGCCGUAGAAUCGUAGCCUGGCGGGAAGAGCGGAGGGACAGCAGCAUUAACAGUUUAACCUAAAUAAGCAAGGCCCCCUGGAAGCAUCUGGUAAACCUCAAUGCAGAUAAUGCCGGCAGAAAACAAGCCAGAGGCCGGCAGGGGACUGCCUGAGUUCAUCAACAAAUUAGGAACAAAUGUCUGGACCUGAGUCAAGACUGGCUCCCGGCUCCCAAGGCUGCAACCGAGAAGUGUGGCCUGUACAGCUCACAGCUCUGGGACUGCUAACCGGGGAACUUGGAGCUUUGUCUCUUGGGUUAUUGGAUAAACUACAAUCCGAGGACUUAAACCAAGGCAGAAAAGGCACGUCCUUGCUGCUAGGACAUCACUCCGGGAGCUAAGGAGAGAGAGGGAAAGACAAUGUGGCUGUUCUCAUUGAGCUUAAAUUCUAGUGAAGGGGAAACCAGCCAUGAGCAAAUAAACAAGAAAAUGUCAAGGAGUUAGCCCCGGGACCUGAGGGAGCAGCAUUUCCGGUGGAGGAGUGGCUGUCAUAAGUCCAAGCUGGGAACAAGCUUGGCUCGUCCAAGCAUCGAAAGACCAUCUUCCUCUGCAAGCACCUGCUGGCCAGCAGGCUGCCACAGGGGGAGCGCAUCUCACGGUCUGAGGCCACCGAACAGCGACCCCUGUAGGAGGCUGUAAGGAAGGUCACUGGUCUUGCUCCUUGGUGGCUGCAGGGUGGUCGCCUUGAGCUCCGAAGCACACAGAGUCAGAUUUCAAAGAUGAAGGUCAAGGUGUUGAAGAAAACAGAUCUGGAUGUCCCAACCAGAAAAAUUGAUUCUACCAAAGAUAUUUGACGGGCCUGCAGCGCCCCAGCAAGGGAGCUCUGAGAAGCCUGAAGGUCAUUCCAGACCCGACUUCUUUCCCCCAGCCCCACCCGUGGAGCUCCUGGAAGGAAAUUCUGUUAACACGUAUGAGAAGAAUCUUUCAUGGGUAGUGCUAUGAGCUUCAUAUCACAUCACACCAGGAGGUGCACGUUGCCUAGACGUCCCUUAGCAAUGCGUGAUGGAUCGAUGCAUGCAGAAGGAGGCAGUCUGGUCUCUCCUCCCCUCCCCAGUUAUAAAGCCUCCCAUCCGCCUUUCGUCUGGCGCUUCAUCUAUUGGAGAU